GCCCAGCCAGUAUGGUGGAUAUCACUCUCAGCUUGUAACCGAGAGGGGUCGGGUUCGAAUUCCGAGUAAGGCA